AUUGAACGCUGGCGGCAUGCCUUACACAUGCAAGUCGAACGGCAGCACGGGGCAACCUGGUGGCGAGUGGCGAACGGGUGAGUAAUGCAUCGGAACGUACCUUUCAGUGGGGGAUAACGUAGCGAAAGUUACGCUAAUACCGCAUAUCCUGUGAGCAGGAAAGCAGGGGAUCGCAAGACCUUGCGCUGAUUGAGCGGCCGAUGUCAGAUUAGCUAGUUGGUGAGGUAAAGGCUCACCAAGGCGACGAUCUGUAGCGGGUCUGAGGGGAUGAUCCGCCACACUGGAACUGAGACACGGUCCAGACUCCUACGGGAGGCAGCAGUGGGGAAUUUUGGACAAUGGGGGCAACCCUGAUCCAGCCAUGCCGCGUGAGUGAAGAAGGCCUUCGGGUUGUAAAGCUCUCUCGGCCGGGAAGAAAUCGCACGGGCUAAUACCCUGUGUGGAUGACGGUACCGGAAUAAGAAGCACCGGCUAACUACGUGCCAGCCGCCGCGGUAACAC
rnacentral:rRNA from 1 species